ensembl:lncRNA
CUGGGGUAGAGGUCUGUCUUAGGGGGUGAUGUCCCCCUGGGGUAGAGAGGUCUGUCUUAGGGGUGGUGUGUGUCUGGGGUAGAGAGGUCUGUCUUAGGGGUGAUGUCCCCCCCUGGGGUAGAGGUCUGUCUUAGGGGUGGUGUCCCCCCUGGGGUAGAGGUCUGUCUUAGGGGUGGUGUCCCCCCUGGGGUAGAGGUCUGUCUUGUUUUGUAAUAUUAUGAUAAUGCAUGAUAAUAACACGCUAAUGCAUGAUAAUAGUAUGAUAAUGCAUGAUAAUAGUAUGAUCACGUCGUCUGAGGGUUAACUGAC